UCCGGCUUAGCUCAGUGGUAGAGCGCCUCGCUGUUAACGAGGAUGUCGCUGGUUCGAGCCCAGCAGCCGGAGCCA
rnacentral:tRNA from 2 species